ACCUUUCAAAGCUAAUUAUACAGGAUGCGUCAUUCAUCCAUAAACGCAAGCAGUAUUUUGACAAUUAUAUAUCUAAAUUACCUUUAUCUAUCUAUGAUCAGAGAGCAAUUUGGGGUUAUUAUUUUGCCCAAGAAGAUUUGGCAUAUAGACUGGAGCAGCCAGGGAUCGAACCAACAACCCUCUGAGUACUGGAUGCUUACUUGAUUAAAAGGAUGAAAGUAUGCAGACAUUUUCCUGUUUCUAACUGUUUGCAGUUUGUUCCUGCACUUGAUUACAACAAUCAUGAAGUAGCUCCAAGCUUUAACAACAUGUCUUGUUCCCCAUUGACUGAUUCUCCUCCUGCUCAUGGGCGAUCUUUCUCUCCCAAGAGGGCUGACCUUAAAACCAUUCUGAAUGGACUUUGGGCGAAGAUUGAUAACACUUCAUGCCCCACGAGUAAUCAGAUCAACAUAUGCAGAGACUACACUGGCAAUGUCCACAACAUAAUGAAAAGUACCUUGCAGGCCUUCAGACGUCGACGUUUCAAUCCUGCGGCAAGAUUGGAUGUUGUUUUUGUUGACAGUGAAAAAACAUCUGAAGGUGCAGUAGAUGGUGGUGGUCCCACAAGAGAGUAUUUGAGGUUGCUGAUGAAGGCCAUUCAUCAGUCUAACAUAUUUGAAGGACCGGAGAAGGACAAGAGAUUGACCCUCGACACUCAUGCCUUGGAGGGGAAACUGUACACACAGAUCGCGCGAAUGAUAUCUGUGUGUGUAAUCCAUGGCGGCGUGGCACCUAAUUUCUUUUCAGACAGAUUAUUUAAUCAAAUCUGUGGGAAACCUAGCCUUCCUGCAACCUUGGAAGAAGUGGGUGAUUUCACCUUUAAGGAAAAGCUUUUGGAGAUUAAGAACGCAACAACUGUUGAAGAUGCAAAAGCGGCCAUAGAGAAGGCAGAGGACAGUCUUGCCAUUGUUGGGGCCUGGAGAAACAUCACAACACUGCGACAGCGGGAUGCCCUGGUGCAGUCCGCUGUUGACUUCUUCGUUGAGGGCAGAUUAAAUGUGGCUUUGCAACAGUUCACAGAGGGCUUCAACACCCUAGGCCUCCUCCAGGAUAUUAGGGCACACCCUGAUUUAUUCAGAAAUCUGUUUGUGGAGGAUGUGGAACCUUUAAAAGCUGCUGACCUCUCAGCAGUAUUUCAGGUCAACUUUUCAACACCAGGAACACAUAAAAGAGAGAUCGAAAGCCAGACGAUAUGCUUCUGGAGAGACUGGCUCAUUGAUGUAGAAGAUGGAGAAUGUGCACCUGUGACCUUGGAGAAUGUCCUGGAAUUUGUUUCUGGAUCCUCUUCAAUACCCCCAAAUGGCUUUCUUAUGCAGCCCACAAUCGAGAUUCUUCCAGAGGAUUCUGGCAAGAUUUUUCCUGAGGCAAAUACAUGUAACAUUGUUUUGAAAUUACCAGUGCACAAAGAUUAUCAAUCAUUUAAAGCACAAAUGUGCAAUGCUAUACUUUGGGCACCAACAUUUGGCGUGGCAUAGAUGGACACCAUUUACAUUGUCCAUUUUGAAUACUUCACAGUGCAGAUUUUGAGUUAUUGCUUAUAACUAUUUUAUGUUUCAUAUAGCACUAUUAUGAAAGCUAUGACUGUAAGAUUAAAAGUAAUAGUUCAAUACUCUUUUGUUGUUGAAGGUUUAAAGUUUUAUAGACGGGUAUCAACAGAAAUUAGGAGUAAAAAAGCACGACCUACAUAACCAGCCCUUUUGUAGUCAGGAAUGUGUUUUCAGGACAGUGGUUGUCCAGUUAGUAUUGAACUGACCUUUUCUGUUUUAGUUUAUGAAA